ACAUUUUUGGCUCAGGUCAGGAUAUAAUUGUACCUGAUGGUUACUCAAGUAACAUCAGUAGAUGCAUUGAUGUCAAACAACGUAAGAUUGGAGGACUAAUGACGAACCAACGUAAGAUUGGAGCAACUUCUCCCUUUGGCAAUAAGAAAGACACUCCCUAAAGAAGUCUCGUCUAUUUUGAUUGAUCUAUGCUCUUUUUUUAAACAAUUAUGCAAUAAAGUUUUGAAGAUAGAUGAACUUGUCCAAUUACAAGAUAGAGUUGUCCUCACAUUGUGUCACAUGGAGAUGUUAUUCCCUCCUUCUUUCUUCACAGUGAUGGUUCAUUUGAUUGUGCAUUUAGUAGAAGAUGCCAAGCUUGGAGGACCUGUCCAAUAUCGAUGGAUGUAUCCUAUUGAAAGGUACUUGGGAAAAUUGAAGUCUUAUGUGCGUAAUAAGGCACAAGCUGAAGGCUCAAUANCUGAAGGUUACAUGGCUGAAGAGUGCUUAACCUUUUGUUCUAGAUACUUAGAUGGAAUUGAGACUGUGUUUAAUAGAUUGCGUCUUCUUAAUGACGAACCAAGCAUUGACUCUUGUACUGUAGGCACUUUAUUCCCACCGAUCGGAAAACCAAUUGGAGGUUUCACUUAUUUCACUCUAUCCGAAAAGGAAAAGUUACAGGCACAUCGUCAUAUUCUAACAAAUAGUGCCAUAGUUGACCCAUUUCUUCAGUAAGUAUUUUCACUUGAUCAAUUCUGUUAAUUAGUCUUUUAUUAGAAAGUAACUAUUUAUAAUUUGGACACUUCUUGUAGGGAAUUUAGAGACACUAUACGAAGACAAUUGAGAAGUCGGAGUCGACAAUCAUCUUUGAUAGACAAAAGAGUUCAUAGGGAAUUUGUAGAUUGGUUUUCACGUCGUAUAAGGAAUGACUCAACUAGCCUUCACUCAACUGAUUUCAAAUUCUUAGCCAUGGGUCCAAUUGAUAUUGCAAAGCGAUAUAGUGCCUACANUGUUAACGGAUUCAAGUUUAGGAUCUUGGAGCGUGACUUAUGGCUUAAAACACAAAAUAGUGGNGUGUUUGGUACAUUUGGGACAAGGAGUUAUGCAAGUAGUAGUGAUAAUCAAAUGCAAUUUGGAGGUGUGCCUUAUUAUGGUCGAUUAGUGGACAUAAUUGAAAUAAACUACCAUGGUCGUUUCUCAGUUGCGUUGUUCAAAUGUAUGUGGGCUAAUAGAACUACUUCUAGGGGGAUUGUGACUGAUGAGUUGGGAUUUACAAGUGUAUGUUUUGGACGCUUGAUUCAUACAGGUGAUAAUGAUGAUGAUGAACCAUACAUUCAGGCAUCACAAGCACAAAUGGUAUAUUAUGUAGAUGAUGAGUUUGAUAAAAAUUGGUGCAUCCUUGUACAUAUAAAGCCUAGAGACUUGUAAACAUGGGUGAAGAUGAUGUUGACAACUUUCAUGAAUGUGAACCGUUUCAACAACAAAACUUAGGAACUUUAUUUCCAGAUGAUGAAAGAAAUAUACCAUUAACAAGACCACCGGAAGAUGAAGAAAAUGACAAUUAAGAAGAAGGAGACAAAACAUCAUACAUAGCAAAGCACAUGGGGUCAUAUUGUUAAUCAUCCAUCAGCAACUCAAAGUGCUGCUCCUCAAGUCCAAUCCUCUCCUUCUCUAUCUACCCCUCAAGUCCAAAGCUCAUGCACUCCUACUCCUAUUCAAUCCUCAAAUGAAUUUUCUUUUCAAGUUAAUCCCUCAAAUGAAGAUGUUCUUCAUUCACCACCUCAAGUUGGAGGAAAUUCUCAUGUACAAGAUGAAAACCAGGAAACUUUGUUGGAAGUUGAAAAAGAAAGGCCACCAACACACAAAGGAGCAUGGUUGGUUGAUGUUAUUGAUGACCAAUGUAAGAUGACUCUCAAACACUUAAAAACAAAUGAUGUUUGGAAUUUGCCUCAAAAUGAAAAGAUUAUUGUACAUUGGAAUGAGGAGUAUCAACCGAUUGGAAAUGGUGGAGCAUUAUUGAAUCAAUUCUUGGGAAAUGUUGCUAAAAAGUUCAAGGUAUUCCCAAUUUGUUAUUCUAGUUGGAAGAAGAUUCCCAAAGACUACAGAGAAAACAUAAUUCAAAAUACCAUUCAAGCAAAGUUUGCAGUGAAUUCCGAUAUUCAAAUCAAUUAUAUCUUGAAAGCACUNAAUCAUAAAUGGAGAGAUUGCCGGCAAGAAUUGUGGCAACAAAGAGAUGAUGGCACGCGUACUAGAGAAGAAUUGAUUGUCAUGGCUCCAGAAGGCAUAGAUAAAGAUCAUUGGGCUUCUUUUGUUGAUUAUCGACUUGGUGAAAGAACAAAGGAGAUUGCCCUUAAANAUAAGCAUAAUAGGAGAAAACAAAUUCUUGCUCACACGGGGGAUCCAAGAGCAUUGCAAGGAAGAGGGAAGAAAUGGUGAAACAUUAUUUAUCUUUAAUUUUCUGUUUCUCAUAAUAUUUAUGACAUACCUAAUAAGUAUUUGUUAAUUUUCAUAGGAAAAAGGAUGUGGGCACAAAGUUAGCCGAGGAGAAGUUUGGAUAGCUACCCAUAAAAAGACCAACGGAGCUUUUGUCAAUGAUGAGGCAAGGGAAAUUGGUACUUAUCAGUUGAAGAAUAGCCAUUGAAUGUUUCAAAUGAAGGCAAUGGUGACACUUUUGUUGCAAAAUCAUCAAGGCU